UCUCGAUUGGUCUAGUGGUCAGGAUACCUGCUUGUCAUGAAGCAAUUCGCAGGUGGCCGGGGUUCGAUUCCCCGAUCGAGAG